UUAAUCAAUACACUAGAGACACCUCGGUUUAUACGUUCAACAAAGGCAUAACAAUAUUGCGAUAUUUAGAAGAUCCCUGCACCUGCAGUAUGGCAAAGCUAAGAAAGUACGGUACCAUACCUCUGUACAUAGUGGAAGAUCACAAUGAAGUUGUGCCAUUCAUACACAGGGCUAUAGGUGGACGAUAUUUACCUAUAUCAGACAUCAUCUUUGUGCAUUUUGACUCCCACCCUGAUCUACUCAUACCAGCAGAGCUGAAGGCUGAUGACAUCUUCAAUAAAGACAUUCUUUAUGAGAGCCAAAGCAUUGAGAACUGGAUACUACCUAUGGUGUAUGCAGGACACAUCAGUGACGUUGUCUGGUUUAAACCGCCAUGGUGUGAACAGAUCACAGACAAGACAAUUCAGUUUGAUGUGGGGAAGUGUUCUUCUUCUGGCUACCUAAGAACCAGCUGUAAAGAAAGUUACUUUGUCAGCGAGACGUUAUAUAGACCAGUGGAAAAACUUCUCAACAGAAAAACUCUCACCCUCACUGUGAUUACAGUCCAACCCACCAACUGGUCCGGAUCACAUCCACUGAAAAACUCAGAAAUGUGUCAGCAGAAUUGUGAACUUACUAACCAAAGGGAAAAGAAUGCACGCCAGUCAGAAGAAAAAAUUAAGUCAAGAGGAGACGGUCUAAAAACCACAGAUGUGUCAAGUCAGGGACUAAUUUGCAAGCAGGACACAGGAAGUAACUGUGGUAAUAACGAAGAUAUAAUAACUUCAGAUGAAUGCAAUGCCACACACGAAAGUCUGUGUCCGAGGAAAAAGCAGCGACCAAAUACAUGUGAACACACGGAAAGUAGACAAAGUGAUUCUAGUCUGGAGUCUGUACAUGUGCCACCAUUAUCAGACAAAUUCAUUUCAAAGUUGGAAAAUUUGUUUGAAAAGUUUAAAGAUUGUCAUAUUGUGUUAGACAUAGAUUUAGACUUCUUUUCAACUAAGAAUCCUUUUCGAGAAAUGUACAGCCCAAGACAGUUUCAGUUACUACAGGACCUCUAUGUGUACAACAAGCCUGCAGAUGACUCUGAUGAGGCCAUUACAAUGUGUGUAGAAGGAAGAGAGGAACAGUUGUCUCAGUUAAAACAGAUACUCAUGUCCAUGGGAGAUAACCCCGGAAUGAUUCCUAAACAUGAAAGGUGUGAGCUGAUCCUGAAAUUGGUUGGCGACCUGAGACAAACUUUUGGAGAGGAUGGUGUGGACUUCAGAUUAUUACACGACGCUGGAUGUACCUGUGAUGAUACAGAAUUGCCUCAUCAUGUCAGCAGCCAGGAGCAGAUAACUCUGUUGGUAGAUGCUGUACAGGAACUACUCUGUCGCAUGCACAAACCAACUAUCAUCACUAUGGCCAGGUCGAGUAAUGAUGACUACUGCCCUCCAGAUCAAGUGGAUUCUAUACAGGAUCAAACUCUGGAAAUCUUACAGGAUCUGUACUUAAAGCUCAAUCUCACAGCUUCUUAUUGACCUUAACUUAUUACAAAAGAUCUGUACGAUAGCCAGGUCCAUGGAACACGGUCACACAUCUCUUUAACGCGGAAAUAUUACCUGAUGUAUUUGGUAGGUGUGAACUUAACAGUGUUAACUUACUGGUAGGUGUGUAUUACUGGUAGGUGUAUGUGAACUCAACAGUGUUAACUUACUGGUAGGUGUAUGUGAACUCAAGUGUUAACUUACUGGUAGGUGUGUAUUACUGGGAGGUGUGUAUUACUGGUAGGUGUAUGUGAACUUAACAGGGUUAACUUACUGGUAGGUGUGUAUUACUGGUCGGUGCGUAUUACUGGUAGGGGUAUGUGAACUUAACAGUGUUAACUUACUGGUCGGUUGUAUUACUGGUAGG